rnacentral:misc_RNA from 1 species
GAUGAAGAACGUAGCGAAAUGCGAUAAGUAGUGUGAAUUGCAGAAUUCAGUGAAUCAUCGAAUCUUUGAACGCACAUUGCGCCCCUCGGUAUUCCGUGGGGCAUGCCUGUUCGAGCGUCAUUUAACCCCUCAAGCCUAGCUUGGUAUUGGGUGCUUGUCCCGCCUCUCGCGCGGCGACUCACCUCAAAGUCAUUGGCAGCCCGCAUCUCGCCGGCCGUGAGCGCAGCACAGACGCGCUCUUGACAACGACGGAUCGGCUCUCCAAAAGCUUAUUUCAACCACUGACCUCGGAUCAGGUAGGGAUACCCGCUGAACUUAAGCAUAUCAAUAAGCGGAGGA